rnacentral:lncRNA from 1 species
ACUAGUGAAUAGUUGCUUCAACCCUGCUUUCUUCUUGAGUAGGCUGUCUAAUGCAAUAUAGUUGGUGGCGAAUCGAGUGGUAGUUGGACGAAUAAUUUCUUCUUUGCAAAAUUCACGCAUCUUUGCCAAUAACCAACCGUGAUUGUAAAUAUAAUUUGUGAUCGUUCUAGCUCUUUUGAUCACAGUAGCAACAUUCUCUCUUUUCCCCAUUGCCUCAAACAUGAGAUCAAUACAAUG